AUGGAGGCUGCGGCGGCCACCGCUUUUGUCGGUAGGAUCGCGCCGAAGCUCCUCGAAUUCUUAGCUGCAAAUCACAAGCUUCGGCAGAAUCUGGAGCAUGACAUCACCUACAUCCAAAGAGAGUUUGCGUUGAUCUCCGCUGCCAUUCAGCAAGAUGAUGACUGUCGCUGGAGGAGCGGCGACCAUGUGAAGAGGGCCUGGAUCCAAAUCAUACGUGACUUGGCCCAUGCCAUCGAGGACUGCAUCGACCGCUUCAUGCACCGGGUGACCAUCUCUGGGGCGUCGACAUGGAUCCGUCAGGCUGUCCACCGGGUGCAGACGGUGACAGUCCGUAAGGAGUUUGCCAAGGCGAUCCGCGAGCUCAAGAAAAUAUCACAGGAGUCAUCCAAGCUGAGAGAAACUUAUUACAGCGCCAACAUCGGUGCUGGCACCUCCUCUUCCUCAGUGGCGUCGUCGGUGAUGGCAUGUGAGACGGCGACACAGAUGGUGAUAGAUGACACCCUCUCAGCUGGCCAACCCGUGGGCAUGGAUGCACCCUGGGAGGAGCUUCUCGAGCUGAUCCAGCAGCAGCAACAGCAGCUCAAGGUGAUUUCCAUUGUUGGUUUCGAUGGUAUAGGCAAGACUCUCCUUGCCAGGUGUGUGUAUGACACAAUUGAGAACCAAUACGAAGCUCGGGCAUGGGUCUCUGCAGCGGAGCAAGGGGUCCCAACAAAUGUUAUCAAGGAGAUACUCCAGCAAUUUGCCAUCCCCACCAAUGGUGGAGGUAACCUCAGCAAGCUCUGCGCAAUCCUUAGACUAUACCUUGGGACCAAGAGGUUCUUCAUUGUUAUUGAUGACAUGCGGACAGAAUUUUGGCAUGAUAUAAAAGAUGCAUUUGUGGGGUUGAGCGGCAGAGUUUUGGUGACGACAGCCAUUCAUUCAGUAGCAAAUGCCUGCAGCAGCUCAGCAGCUCAUGAUCAUGUGUACGCAAUGAAAACUCUUGCCGAUGAACACUCGAGACUAUUAUUCUUCAAGGAAGCUUUUCAAGACGACAAUCCACCAAUCGAUAAAGAGGACCAACUUGGCUCGGAAGCACUGAAGAAGUGUGAUGGUUUACCCCUUGCUCUUGUUACCACAGCACGGUACUUGCAAAGCACAGGUAAUCCAACACAUGGAAACUGGGCAACAUUAUGCCACAACCUGGGAGCACAUCUGGAAACAAAAGAGAUGUUAGCAAGAAUGAAGCGUGUGCUUGUCCAUAGCUACACCAGCCUUGUUAAACAUGAUGUCAAGACGUGCUUACUAUAUCUCGGUAUCUACCGUAGUGGUCGUACAGUUAGGAGAGGAAGCUUAAUAAGGAAAUGGUGCGCUGAAGGGUUUAUCCAAGGAGAUUAUAUGUGUAAUGCUCUGGAUGCUGCUAAAGCCAAUUUCAAAGAGCUUCUCAACCGGAGCAUCAUCAAACAUACAGAUGCCAGCAGCAAAAACAACAAAGAUCAGGUGAAGACAUACCAUACUCACGGCAUGAUGCUUGAGUUCAUCCUGCACAUGUCCAAGUGUGACAACUUCAUUACCUUGUUAUAUGAUCAGAUGGCUCCCCCACCUCCACCCAGCAAAAUCCGUUGGCUCUCUCUCCAUGACGCAAGUGCUAGAGUAGUAAAUGAUCUAUCUCUUGUUCGGUCUCUGACGGUCUUUGGCAAGGCGCAUGAUUCAGUCUUGGAUUUUUCCAAAUAUGAACUGCUUCGAGUUUUGGAUUUAGAAGAAUGCAGUAACCACUUGGAGGACAAGCAUCUUAGGGAGAUAUGCAGCAACCUGUUGCUGCUCAGGUACUUAAGCCUUGGGGCUGCACAUAAGGUUGCGGUGCUCCCCAAAGAGAUAAAAAAGCUUCAACUUUUGGAGACGCUGGAUGUAAGAAAAACCAAGAUAGAGGUCCUGCCGACACAAGUCAUGGAGCUGCCAUGCCUGAUUCAUCUAUUUGGAAAGUUCAAGCUCCAGCAAGGUGUAGGAGGACGGAAAAUGCAUAAGCUGCAAAUUUGGUUCUCGGAGAAUAGCAAAUUGGAAACAGUAGCAGGAUUUGUUGUGGACAGCAACAAGAGCCAAGGAUUUGCACAGUUCAUGGAGCAUAUGAAACACUUGACGAAGGUGAAAAUAUGGUGUGAGCAGUCCAGUAAUAAUAGCAGGGAUCCCACUGCCAGCGGCAGCAGCAGCAACACCAACAACUACACUCAUGUCUCAAAGGCCAUCAAGGGGUUCAUCAAGAGAAGCACCGAUGUGAAAAAAGCUCAUUCACUCUCACUACAUUGCAAUGAUAAAUGGUUCCAAGACUUGCUCGUGAACUUGUCCCUAGAAAAAGAAGAAGCUUCCUCCUGCUAUCUUAGUUCGCUCAAGCUACAAGGGGGCAACAUAUGCAGCCUGCCUCCAUUUGUUACCAUGCUAGGUGGUCUCACUAAGCUGUGCCUUUCAUCCCCUCAUCAUCAGCUGGGCGGGGAUAUUCUUGUUGCCCUAAGCAGAGUGCGCUGCUUGGCAUACCUGAAGAUGAUUGCAUCUCAACUGGACAACCUCGUCAUCGUAGAAGGUGCACUUGGAAACCUGCGACAACUAUGCAUCGUGGUUGAAGUCAUGACUGAACUGGAAGUCCAAGAGGGAGCUCUACCGCUCCUCGAGUCGCUCCAGCUGCUAUGUAAGGAUCUAAAUGGCUUUUGCAGCAAGAUGAUCCAGUCCCUGCGACGUAUUAAGGAGGUCACCCUCCAUGAUGGAGUGAACGGUGAAACAAAACAAAAGUGGAAGGAAGCAGCAAAAAAACACCCCAGACGCCCCAAUCUCUUGUUUGUUAAAACAGCAGAAGAUGCUGAUAUGGGAAGUGAACCCGCAGACAAUUCUGAGAGCCCUGUGGCACAAACUACUGCUACAACGGUAUCAGUGAUAACAACCCAGGAUGCCAUUUCUACUGGACAAUCUGUACAAGUUGAUGGUGCUGAUCUACAACAGGGUGAUGAGAAAGAACAUGCGUAUAAAAUUGAUAUCCUAGAGGAUUUUGCUAGCAAGACUUGUCUUGACCCUCCAAUGAACACGGAAAGUUUUGAACAGGGGAUGGAAGGAAUGGUAGGUUUAGAGGAUGAGCGGAUGGAAGAUGUCACUCAUUCUACUGAUCAGGCUGAUCAAAAUGUUGUGCUUUCUGUGGUGGGGGAGAACAGAAGAAAGAGGGCAAGAUUAGACAUUGGUGAAGAUAACUCAAUGGACAAGGUUGUUGAUAGGGUGAAGCGCAAGAAGCCAGAGGAUGUCCAAGAAACGAUGCCUACAAAACAAACAGCGCCUGGGCUAGCGGUUGCUGUCUCUGAUGGAAAUUGA
rnacentral:rRNA from 1 species